AUGUGGUACCUUGUGGUAUGCACAUAAUAAAUUAUUGUAUUACUCUAUUACGUUUAGCGUGUAUGUUUACAUUGAGUAUCUGUCAUAUGUGGAGAUGUUGUUAUUGUUGUCUAGAGUGUGAAUCAUUGUAUGUAAUAUUGAAGUAUCGGUAAUAAAGUGUAUACAAAUAAUGAAUACAGUUGUUGAAUAAUCAUUACAGAGAAAGAUUCUCACAUUGGCGACGAGAACGGUGAACAGUGCAUGUGAAAUUAGUUUAAUUUCGGUUCGGGAAGUGUUGUCUUUGGAAAAAGAAAGAGAUGAGUGGUGUGUGUGUGUGGUGCAUGCAGAGUGGUGAUGACCUCCAGGUGAUGACUUGUGAUUGAAUUUCAACAUUGGAAUCAAAAAGGUACAACCACAAGUAACGGCCAAGUAAUUUACCAAAAUGCCGAGCAGAGAUGGAUGACCAAAUGGAUGACUGUACUUCUAAUUUUGAUGUGAGACUGAAGCGAGACGUUCAUAAACUGAGGAGACUAUAAGCGAAACAACGUGGAGUGACCUUGCUGCGGAUCUGGAGAAAAAACGAGAUGUGGUACCUUGUGGUAUGCACAUAAUAAAUUAUUGUAUUACUCUAUUACGUUUAGCGUGUAUGUUUACAUUGAGUAUCUGUCAUAUGUGGAGAUGUUGUUAUUGUUGUCUAGAGUGUGAAUCAUUGUAUGUAAUAUUGAAGUAUCGGUAAUAAAGUGUAUACAAAUAAUGAA